AGCCAAAUCUCAGCUGGGACACAGUGGCAUCCAUUGUCCAUAUUUACAGAGAAACCAACAGGUAGGAGACCACUUGGGACAGGUGGGAGACCACUUGCCAAAAUAUGUUAUCACAUGGGAUAAUGUGGCAUUCCACCAUUCCCGUGCAGUCACAGCCUGAUGAGAGCAUGUGGCCAAAUGCAGAAGACUUAAAUAAUAAUAAAAGAUAAUAAGAAUUAAAGAUUAAAGAAUAAAAGAUUACUUUUUUUUAUUAUAAUUCCGGUGCUUUUUCUGUUUGUAUAUAUUGCAGUAAUGUCCUUUUGCACUGUACAUUUUACAUUUUUUUUCAAUUGCUUAGACACUAAAAUUAAAACUUUCUCACAAUUAACAAAUCGUUAUACUCAAGGAGCAAAACACCGGCCUAGAUUUGCAAAACUGUAAGCACAUUUUCAGCUUCACACUUUUUGCAAAACAUAACACAGUGAUUUGCAAAACACUAAACACACUUAACAUACAUUACACACAAAAAUCUAUCAUGAAGUCACUUCCUUGCAAUACCAAAGCACUGACUGUCAAAUUACCGCACCGUCCAACCAAUUGGUUCAACACAGUCAUCAGGUGUGCAAACACUUGUUUGCUUAAUUGUAGACACACCAAUCAGGUGUUUAAGCACUAUAAAAAGGCAACAGGCAAGUUCACCUGUCUUCAACAAAAAUGGACAGUGUCGGAAGAUGAGGAGGAGUACGGAUGAGAGGGGGAAUCCGGAGAGAACAAGGUGGAGGAAGAGGCCAAGGUAGGGGAAGAGGAAGAGGGAGAGGAAGAUCUAGAGGAGGGGUAGGACAUGCACAAAGAAGAAGACAACCAAAUCUUUGUAACGAAAUUCGUACUACAAUUGUGAAUCAUGUAAUAAACCACGGACUAACACUGAGGGAGGCUGGACUGAGAGUACAGCCUAACCUAAGAGCACAGGAUUAAACGUCGAGAACACCAAGGAGGGAGGCGCCCUAUAUUCACACAGGAGCAAGAAAGAGAGAUCACAAACCUUGUUUUGGCCAAUAAUGCAAUCAGACUUUGAGAAAUUCAAGCCUACAUUGUCAAUGAUCACCAAAUUUUCAAUAAUGUCCUACAGGUCUUUCUGUCAACAAUAGGCCGUAUCCUUAAAAAAACAUCAAGUUGUGAUGAAACAAUUGUAUAAAGUGCCAUUUGAAAGAAAUUCAGACAGGGUGAAAGUCCUGCGGGAUGAAUAUGUGGCGAGAUUUUUGCGAAUGGAUGUGGAAGAAGUCCCGCAUGAGUUUAUAUACAUUGAUGAAGCUGGAUUUAACCUGACAACAGUGAGAAGAAGGGGAAGAAACAUCCUUGGCCACAGGGCUAUCGUCAAUGUACCAGGGCAACGUGGGGGUAAAAUUACCCUUUGUGCUGCCAUUACACAGAAUGGGGUCCUCCACCGCCAUGCCAACUUGGGUCCUUACAACACUGACCUCAUUCUUACAUUUUUAGACCGAUUACACAAUAUUAUCACAGCAGCAAACCAAAGGGACCAGAUGCAAUACAUUGUCGUCUGGGACAAUGUGGCUUUCCAUCGUUCUGCCCAGGUCCAAAACUGGUUUCAUCAACACCCACAAUUUACAGUUCACUACCUUCCACCAUACUCCCCCUUCCUAAACCCCAUCGAAGAGUUCUUUUCAGCAUGGCGGUGGAAGGUUUAUGAUCUCCGGCCCUAUGUCCAGAUGGCCCUCAUUCAAGCUAUGGAGGAAGCAUGUGAUCAAAUUGAAGCAGCAUCCAUACAAGGGUGGAUUCGUCACUCCAAAAGAUUAUUCUCACGUUGCCUUGCAAAUUAAUAUAUAGCCUGUGAUGUUGACGAGGCCCUGUGGCCAGAUCCAGCUAGGUGGGGAGAU